UAUAUAUAUAUAUAUAUAUAUAUUGUAACAUGGCAGUGUUAUACCAUGUUAUUUAAUAUAUUCAAUACUAUAUAUUCAAUACUAUAUAUUCAGUAUACUGUUAUAAUUAUAAGAGGAAGACCUUAGGCAACCUUCCUCGCAUGAAUAAGCAAAUAUUUAGAGAGAUUAACGAACCACGGGAAACGCCUAGUACCACAAACCACGCAAACAGGACAUAGUUUUGUGGUUGAUAAACACUGCUAGAACUUGCUUUGACAAACAUAUUGCGUAGAGGAAAUUAGUCAUAGUUACAGAUUUCUUCCUCUAAAAUUUAUUAUAAAAGCUGAGCACAACCUGAGAGUCGAGAGGGGAGAGCGGAGAGUGAAGUGAGAAGAGCCAUUUAGGCUAAAAUACUUCAUAAGCCAACAAAGGCUGAAGUAUAUAAUUAAAAGGCUAGAUAAUUAAGCCUCGUCAAGUAAACUGAAGAACAUUGGAAUAUUGUGGAAUAAUUAUUAUUAAAGACGACGGAAUACAAAGUAUAAAGAAUAAAGAUUCAAAGUUGUGCUCAGCUCAAACAAAUAGAGAGAUAAGUUGAUAUAUUAAGAUUACUAUAUUAUUAUAACAUUAUAGAGCCGCUAAUUCAUAUUGUUGAAAGUAAAUAAAAUAUAUAAAAGGUAUAAGGUUUCAUGCUAUUUGUGUUACGGUAGCGUUAAUAUAAUUUGAACCCGAAGCCUAAAGGUUGAAAAUAUACCUUAUUGGAAAAUAUAUUUGACGCAUAAAUAACGCACCAUAACAAUAUAUAUAUAUAUAUAUAUAUAUAUAU